UACGUAGGGUGCAAGCGUUGUCCGGAAUUAUGGGGCGUAAAGAGCUCGUAGGCGGUUUGUCGCGUCUGCUGUGAAAACUCGGGGCUUAACCCCGGGCCUGCAGUGGGUACGGGCAGACUAGAGUGCGGUAGGGGAGACUGGAAUUCCUGGUGUAGCGGUGAAAUGCGCAGAUAUCAGGAGGAACCCCGGUGGCGAAGGCGGGUCUCUGGGCCGUAACUGACGCUGAGGAGCGAAAGCGUGGGGAGCGAACAGG
rnacentral:rRNA from 1 species